AUCCUUUUGUGGCAUAUAUGCAUGAUGAUUGUCACCCAUGCAUCCAUGGGACAUGUGCUUCUUCGAACCUUAUUAAGAUGUCAGUGCACCUGAUGUGAAA
ensembl:snoRNA